rnacentral:lncRNA from 1 species
CAGGUAAAAUCAUUAGUUGUACAGGAUUUAAAUUUUUGGCAAUCAAAUACUAUUUUUAAAUUACCUUAAUAAUUUAUCAUUAAUCAAUUAAAUCAUCUAAAAUUUCAUCAAAGUUUCAAUAAUUGUAGGCAAUACUAAAUAAUUCUAUUUAUUUCAUGAGAGACUCUUUUUUUUUUUUUUUUUGGUACCGGGGAUUGAACUUGGGUCCUUGCACUUGAGACUCAUUUUUUUUUUCACUAAAUUUCUAGCAGUUUUCUGCUUAGUCUACUAUAAAACCUUUCAAUAGUUGCAUAAUUUGAGAUACCAUUUUAUUAAUACAGAUAUAUCUGUCUUUUUGUAGCGCCUUAUAUGAACAAGCUUCACCGUGCCAAUGAAUACCACAGUAUUCCGUCUGUGGACAGUACGUGCUGGCCUAUUCCCAGCCAGGUCUCUUCUGUGUCCACACCAGUAACUGAACUUGCUCGAAUUUGUUCCCUUGUUGGGAUGCCACAACCAGAUUUCUCCUUUCUGAGAACACCUCAGACAAUGACAGUUUGCCAGGUAAAAUUAUCAAAUGGUUUACUGGUGCAUGGGCCACAGUGCCGCUCUGAAAAUGAAGCCAAGGAGAAAGCUGCACUUUUUGCUUUACAACAACUGGGCUCCUUAGGAGUGAAUUUUCCUUUGCCUCCACCACUAUUUCCAAAUUAUCCUCCUGCUAUACCACCUGGAACCAUUCCUCCAGUUUUUCCCCAACCUCCUGCUAAUAUAAUGCCUUCAUCACCUCGUCUCUUUGGCUCAGUUCCGUGGGGUCCACCAUUGCCAGUUCCUGGAAAGCCCUUCCAUCAGACUCUGUACCCUGGGGCUGUGCCCACAGCUGGAGGAAUAAUGCCAGGUGGUGCGCACAAUCAGUUCAUACCUUUGCAGGUCAUGAAAAAAAGAGUUGCAAACAAAAAGAACUUUGAGAAUAAAGAAACCCAGAGCUCUUCUCAAGCCACCCCAACACAGACUAGCAAGCCAGGGUCUUCUGAUAUUGCCAAAGUGACUGCACAGGAAAGUUCAUCAGCCCCUUUGAACUCCUCUCAGGUUGCUCAGGCUGCAUCUUCUUUUCAAGGUGAAACUGCCUCCCACGGCAGCCAUAAUGCACCUCACCAGAAGGCAGCACCAAGCUCUUCUUCAAGAAGAAGAUCAAGGAAACUGGCUGUCAAUUUUGGCGUUUCUAAACCUUCUGAAUAAAUUUGGAACUUGGGAAUUAAUUUCUUUUCUUCCCAUCUGCCUUUUUAUAAAUCCAUAUCUAUGUCUCUUAGAAAGUUAUCACACUUUUUUAAAAGUAGGAAACCACAGUCUUUAUAUGGAGCUGCUUAUGUACUAUUUUUAAAUAAUAUGUUUAAAUUGAAUAUUUGUAAUUUUUAAGUUGUAAGGCACUUUUCAUGCUAUUUAAGACUGUAUCAAAUUGUGCACUUUAAAUAUGUGCAGUUUGUUGUAUGUCAAUUAUACCUCAAUAAAGCUGUAAAAAAGGAAAAGAAAAAUGACUAAACCAAACCUUGUGUUAAAAUGAGUGUCAGUGGGCUGAGCAUUAAAAUGUGCCACUCUAACCAUUGGCCUCCUCAUUAGAAGCAUCCUUGAAAUAUGAAUUAGACAUCAUGUUAGCAAUAAUUAUAAACAUAUUUAUGCUGUCAUUGAGGGAUAAUUGGAGCAUGAAAAUUGGGCCUCAAAUAUAAUUUACUGGAUGUGGAUUUAUUUUUCUUAAAAAUUAUCAAAUGAAUGGCUCUUAUUUAUGUCUGUUGUGAUUCAUGUUCUGUUAUCUCUGAGGGUCCUUUAGACCUGCUGUGAAGUGAUCACUCUGGUUGUGGUGCUGCCAGUUUCAUUUUAUUCUACAUUUUGUACCAAAGCAACUUUAGAAUACUGAUCAGAAUACUUCAUCCAAUUACUCAGAACUAUAAAUAGCAAUCUAGAUUUGAGUAAUUACAAUUUUUUCAAUUAUUGAAGAACCGGCAUUAGUAAUUCCUAAUAAAAUUGUUUCAAAAUCUACAGGGUACAAAUUAAUCUUCUAGUAGAAUAAAUAUUAGUCAUGUUGUUCAUUAAAAGAAAUUGUUAUUCUUUUGUAUAGCUUUUUAUUUGCCUACUUAACAUAUGUGAGAGCUCAUUUUUGGUCCAUGUGUAGUGCUCGCUAGAACUGAUGUAGUUCUAAACGUUUUUAAUUCCAAGGUGUGCUAUAAUACAAUCAUCAGUUUGUGAUGUACAUUAUUUACUGCCUGUCUUGUUCUGUAUUUUAGCUUUAUGCUGAACUAUUCAGUGAUGCUGGCAUUUUGUCUUGCACGUCAUGUGUGGAUGUGUGUUGUUAAAACUAUUGAAAUUAUAGAAUUUAAGACAAUUUCUCAGUGGUACCAGGGUGUGUGUGUGUGUGUGUGUGUGUGUGUGUGUGUGUGUGUAACCUUUUAGUUUUUAUGAUAUGCUUAGUUUUUGAGGAAGAAAGUUAUAUUUUAUGCAAAGUGGGAACCAUAGUCUUCAUAUGGAGCUGCUUAUUAUCAUAUCUGAUUUCAUUUAGCUCAUUGAAAACUGCAGUGAUUCUUAAAAUCAACUCUGUUUUUUAAAAUACUGGCAGUAUACUAAAUGAACUUCUUUCUCUGAUGAUUUUAGUUUCUCUAAAUGUUAGCAGGAUAUUUAUAUAUUAGUAGUCCCUUUAGCAUAUGAGAAUAAUGAUCUUUAUCUGUUAUUUACUAUAGUCACUUUUUGAGAUUUUGGUUUUUUCCUAGUAAUUUCCCAGGUUCAGAUGUUUGUCAGUUUUCAGCAUUUCAUUCUCUUUUUCUGUAGUGGGGUCUUGAGGAAUGAGGCUCAAGUAUGUAAUUCUCAGUGUUCAUUGUCUCACAAACUGUGUUAAAAGGAAACAUUUACUGUGAGCAUCAAGAGUUAAAUUGUGACAAUAAUGUUAUGUUAACCUCUUGCUCCUUUAAAGUAUGUAAUCCAAUAUUUAUCACUUCAGCUAGCUACAAACUCCAGCGUACAAGAACUGCCUCACUCGUCACACCUCUGUGACUGCCUUUUUUUUUUUUUGGUGCCAGGGAUUGAACUUGGGACCUUGCACUUGCGAGACAGGUGCCAGAACCACUGAGCUAAAUCCCUGGCCCCUCUGUGACUGCUUUAUCAACAAUGUACAGCCCAUAUUUGAGAGCGCAUGCCAUCUUCUGAAACAGCAGAGAAAUUUUAGUAAAAACAGUGCUAUUAAACCCAUCAGGAUACUUCUCCAAUAUUUGAGUAGAGCAAGCUAAUAAUUCUACGUGGAUAAUAAAAGAGCUUUACAGACUUUUUUUAAAUAUUCUAAAGGUCAAACUUAAAGAGAGAUUAAAAUAUGAAAGAGCUCUACAAUGGCUGACAGUGGUCAGGUAUUCACUAUUCUCUUCCCCUUAGGGCCUAUUGCAGAUGUGGGGUGAUAGCAAUGAGGUGCAGCAGGGGCCAUUUUUACUGUGUCAUGGUACUGAGGAGACUGGAGCCGUUGAUGGUCAUGCUGGGGGUGUCUAGUGCAGCUCAGAAAAACAACUGGACUUUGGGAAACUUAGUCUUUCCUUUUUAGAUGGGACAGAUUGAGACUACCACCAAAGUUUAAAAAGAUGCUCGUUCAACUUGAAUCUGAUGGGUUUUUUAAAUGAUGGACUAUAUCAGACACAGAAGAGGUAGAGUCUCCAAAUUGCUUCAUGUUUCCACAUAACUAGAGUACUUGAAUCUGUUUAAACAUUUCUCUCCCUACUGAAACAUUACUUCUAAAUAAUCUUGUUCAAAAAGUCUUUUUAAGAAAAUUACAUGAAUUCUAGAGAUAGAUUCUUCCUGUCUCACUGUUCCUUUGUACAAUUUCCUGCAUUACCUCGGUUUUAUAAUUUGAUCUAAACAUCAUGUAGAAUAAACUCUUACAUCUAAGACUGAGCUGCAUGAAAAAUUAAAUUCACUUCUAUUGAAAAUUUUCUUGCCUUUCCAUGAAAGAUUGGAGCGAGCUUCUCUUCUUUCUUUUUCUUUCUUUCUUUCUUUCUUUCUUUCUUUCAUUCUUCUUUCUUCCUUUCUUUUCUUUCUUUCUCUUGAUGGGAACGAUGAAGAACUAUUGAUGCAACUUUUUUGUUGCUUAAUUCCUUUUCUGUAAUCAAGUAUUUGCUUUGGUUUUAGGCUAAUCUAGAUUCUUAGUUUUGAGAAAAGAUUUGUUAGGAAGAGAUGAUUGUGAAUGGUAUUUUUAAAAAAAUCACAAGCCAGGUGUGGUGGUACACACUUGUAAUCCCAGCACUUGGGAGGCUGAGGCAGGAGGAUAGUGAAUUUGAGACCAGCCUCGGGGCCAUAGGGAGUUCAAGCCAUCCUGGACCGUGUACCAAGACUCUGUUUCAAGAAACAAAACCACAGUAGUUGUCAUUUUUCUAGAGAUGCUCAUAGUAUGCCAACUGGCAUUGUUCCAUAUGUACAUGUUAUAAGCUUUUUUCAGUGAGACAGCCUUUUUUGCAGGCACUUCCUUUAUUAAUCAGUAUAAAGUUUAAAAUUCUCGAACUGUUUUCAGACUGACUUAAUUCCCAUUUCCAACAAAAUUCUCUAUCUUCUGCCAGGGAACAACAACAGUAAGAGAUAGAUGAAACAGAUAGCACCAGGUCUCCAGCAACAGCCAACAGGCAGGCCCUAGAUUUCGUUGUUAGUGUCCUGAGGUAACAACUCAGACAUCACAGAUCCUUCAUUCAGAAAGCAAAGAAAAAUGCAUAAGAUGGUUUUACUAGUCAAAAAUAUCGACAAUCCAUAUCUGCUUUUGUGUUGUGUAUGUGUGUGCGUGUGUCAGUGAACAAUAAUAAUGCCUUGCUCAGUCAGUGCAUUCAGCUAUCUCAAGUGCAAUUUGUGAAGGAGACUGUGGUUUCCAAUGAUACAUUUUUUUUACAUAAACCUGUAAAAAUUAUUUUUUUCCAGCAGUAUACUACUUGAUGCUAUUGAUUAUUUCAGCAUUGGUAUAUUAUUAACUUACCCAGGCCAAAUAAUUAAGUUUCUGUAGCUGUUUUAGUAAUUUGAAGGCAAAUUCUCAUGCUCUUUCUCAUGAAUUGACAAGAAUGAGCAUUUGGUCCACAGUUUGCUUUAAGUUCUUUUAUUCCUUUUCACUACAAUUAGGGGUUUUUGUGUUUGUGCUUUUUUGGAUUUUCUUGUGGGUUUUGGGUUUUUUGCAGGGUUUUUUUGUUUGUUUUCAUUUUGGCCUCAAGUAUCAUUUCCUUUUGCUUGCAUCAGAUUGCUUGAGUGUUUUCAUCUAUUUUGAUACAUGCGUAAUAGAUUGUGUGCUGUGUCAGCAGUGUCCAAUAUUCUAUUCAUUUAAACAAUAUAAUUAAGUAUAAUUCAUGUACAUCUUAAUUCUUUUUUUUCUCAAGUAUUUUAUAAGUAACUGGAAUUUUUCAUUAGAUCUUAUACAGAGCAGUAUUUUAUUAAAAAUUCAAAAGGGAAGACUUAUGUGUUCAUUUUGUAGUUUUUCUGUUUUUAAAAUAAUCUUUACGUGGUCUGCCAAUUAAAGUUUUAAAUGCAGUGGAAUGGACUGAAUGUAUUUUUGUGUUGUAUAUUUGUAAAUUUCCAUCAUGAAGUUAGCCUCAAAAUCCUGUGCAAAGGGAUUUUAAAAUGAGUCACUGAAAGAAUUUAAGCAUAUAUUAAAUACUCUAUGAAUUUUAAUUAAAGAUUUAAGAAUAUUUCGUAAGCUGGUUGUUCUUUCAUGAUUGCAUUAAUAACAAAAGUAGAAAAGUUAUCACUUUGACAUAAACCAAUAUUCAUUUAUAGCUCUUGAUGCUACAUGUAGUAAGUUGAAACAGCAUUGUAGAUUAAAAACGCUAUGAUUCAGAUCCUAGUUCUACCUCAUAUGUGUAAAUAAAUCAUUAUCCUAAUAUUGGCAUGUUACGUAAGGUGUAAGCCUCAGAUUCUUAAUCUCCUA